UAUUGCUGCCUGAGUUAUAACAGCUGCCCUGGGAAUCUUGUCUGAACAACAAGUUAACUGCUGUUCCCAGUUAUAUCUGGUCUUUCCCACCCCCAAACAUACACAAAAGAUUUUUGUCAUUCUUGGCACUGGACAACAGAAGUGAUAAGACAUGCCAGCAGAACUCUAAAGGCAGAAUGUCCUUCCACCUGUUUUAUGCUGUAAGACAAACUUCCAAGUGCGAGGCAGUGUGGAGGGCUGUUGCCUUGAAUGGCAGCUGAAUGCACCAGCGGGAUCCUUGGCAGCAAUGCCCAGGCACUGAAGUCGGGCAUUCAGGAGAGCUAAAUGGAGAAAAGAAACUUGAGCAAACUGCUUCCUGGAACACUGAGAACCUGAAUGGGAAAUUAAGAAGAACCAGAUUCUUUCUAUUCUUCCACCAGCCAAGGUCAGAUUUCCAAACUUCUAUUGAUUCUAAUCUUUCCCAAACAGUGCUGUGGCAAUGUAUGAAAGUAAUAAAAAUAAUCCUUUUUCUGUUAAAAAAAAAAUUGCUGUUACUUGCUGUUUUGUUAUGCUUUUGCUGGAGAUUUUCCCACCCAUCUUAAAGCAGCAACUUCAGGAUGGGGGAAUCAAGCAAAACCAUGGUGAAGAGAUUCAUUUAAAGAGGACAAGUGAUUUAUUCUACAUCUCAGGAGACAGUUCCUUAAGGUGAUGAGCACAAAAGGAUCCAUCUUAUACAGUGCUUGCCAGCUUCCAUAAUACUACUCACCACGAUGUUGAAAUCACCUGUUCCAGAACCAGUCCUGUCCUUUGACAAGAAGGAUUUAAUUAUCAGUAGUGGUGGGGACUGGCUGGAGAGAGGAAAAACACUUCAAGGACUCUGCCACCUUUCGUAGAUGGAGAGUGCAAAGUUUGUACCAUGGAACUCCUUCUCUAACAGUUACUCUGUGGCAGUGCCUAUUUCAAACCUCCCUUAACUUCUGAUUGUAUAGAUGUUUGUUUCAUUUGUUCAUCUGUUUGUUCACUUAGUCAGAGAUGUUUUAAGCCUUAAGAGAAAUAGUGGACUAGAAAAUGCCUUGGAAAAGUACAAAGUUCAAUCCAAGUAAACUGUUUUUAAACUAGGAAUUUAUGAAGCCUAAAAUAUAAAAUGUAUAUACAUGGAUAUGCUCUGAAGUGAGGUAGAGGGGUAGAAAUCAACAUUGUGAUAUUGUACUAUAGUUUUGCAAGAUGUUACCAUUGGGGGAAAAUGUUUGAAGGGUAUACGGGAUAUCUCUGCCUUAUUUCUUACAACUGCAUGUGAAUCUACAGUUAUCUCAAAAUAAAAAUUUAAUUAACAAUUGAUUACAAUUAACAGCAUUAAUUUCUUAUCCUGUCAUUUUCCUUCUCCUGAAAUUGCAGAAUAGCCAAACAGAAACCUACCCAUGACCACCAUCUGAGAUUCUUUGGUGCCCGUAUUAGUGGACAUAGGCAGGUGUAUCAGGAGGCAUCCAGUCACGCAUACUGGAAGAUACUGACUCAACUGAUUUAAGCAAAGGAAAAUACAGUGUAUUAUAUAAUGAGACAUCUUGAGUAGGGUAGUCCUAGGGUCAGUUGAUUCAGCAGCUUGAUUGAUAAUCAAGGGCCCAAAUUCUUUCCCACUUUCUACCCUGCCAUCCUCAGCCUAUCAGUUUCGUCCUCCAGCUGGCUUAAAGGUAGUUGCAAGGUGGCUGCUAUCAUGCCAUGCAAAAUGCAAAUGCAAAAAGUAUGCAGAUACAAAAAGUAUCUCUUUUCAUAAGUCUCAUUUUAAGGGCAAGGAAAAACCUGCAGGCCUUUCUGCCACUCUCUUGACCCACUUACUUAACUGUGGAACAAGUCACAAACACCUGUUUAAGUGGAUCACUUGGCCAGGAGGGAGAGAUUGCCAUUAUCCUUAGAUGGAGGAGAAUGGGGGUGGGGGUUGUUAUGCCUGAACAUAAUCAGUGCUCUGCCAGUGAGUAAGAGCAGAGAUGGGGUGAUUAAUAGGCAACCCCUCACCAAGGAGCCAUUGUAAAGCUUCAGGCCAGUUCAGAAGGUGAUGAAGAUGGAAAGCCUCCAAAGCAACCAGAACAACCAGAAGGAACACGCUUUUACAGCUUGCUUCUGAUUCCACACCGCGAGGACAAUGGGUCCAGCAUGCCACACUGAUCCAGGAACUUAGAACUAAGUAAGAAGCAAGGGAGAGAGGCUGCUAUAGCUGAAACCCAGAGAAUGAACUUUCUCCCAGGAGGUUGCAAGGGCUGCCCUUGUAAAAGAUCCUGUCCUGGGUUUAAAGGUUAGCAAAUUUUCUGUUUUGUUUUGCUUUGACUGCAUGAGGGUUGAGUUAAAGUGAAAUAAUAUUUAAGACUUAUUUUUUAAAUAAGA
ensembl:lncRNA LINC03013 long intergenic non-protein coding RNA 3013